rnacentral:rRNA from 1 species
GACCUUAUGUCAGGCGAGAUCAACCAUUGAGUCUAAGCAUAUCAGUAAGUAGAGGAAAGGAAACAUACCGGGAUUCUCUUGGUAAAAGCAAUUGAACUAGAAAAAGCCCAUUAUGAGAAUUGAGCAUCCUCGGUAUUUGAAUUGUAGUAUAGAGAAAUGUCCUCACUAAUGGACUAGGCCUAAGUCCCCUAAAAAGAGGUGCCAAAAAAGGUGAGAGCCUCAUUGUGCCUGGACCUUAACGUACCAUAAGGCACUAUCUGUGAGUUAAGUAUACAGGUGUGACAUCAAUAGCGAAAAAGUACCAUGAAAGAAAGAUGAAAAUGAAUUUGAAAAAAGAGUCAAAGUAUGCUUGAAAUUGUCGAAAGAGAAAUAGAUGGGGAUCAAUGAUAUGCCUCGAUCAGAUGUUGAAUAGCAAAAGCUGGUCCCUCAAUUGACUCAAGGUAUGGCCCAAUGUCGGUCACAACAGUGACUCAAGCCUGGGCUUUUCAUAUACCUAUUAAGACAUUAUUGCCACAAUCAUGGAAUGUAGCACACACUAUCUCGGUGUGCCUUAACACCAGCAUGCUCAUGGUGUCAACUUGUGAGCUCUUCAUUCAACCCAUCUUGAAACACAAACCAAAGAGUUUGGCACGUGCACAAGUCAAUAGGCUAGAAAACUCAUAAGAUGUAAGGAAGCUGAUUGGUAAGAUCCCUUGAGGUGUACCAUCGAUCAACCUUGAUCUUCUGAAAAGGGUUUGAGUUUAAGCAUGCCUGCAAGACCCAAAAGAUGGUGAACUAUGCUUGAGCGAGGAAAAGCUAGAGGAAACUCUGCUAGAGGACUAUAAUGAUACUAACAUGCAGAUCAUUCAUCUGACUUGAGUAUAGGGGUGAAAGACUAAUCAAACCAUCUAGUAACUAGUUCUCUCUAAAGUUUCCCUCAGGAUAGCCCUUAGUGAGUUCUAUUAGGUAAAGCCAACAAUUAGAGGCAUCAGGAUGCAAUGCCCUCAACCUAUUCUUAAACUUUAAAUAGGUAGGAUGAUGUGACUACUUUGUUGAGUCAUGCCAUGGAAUCAAGAGCUCCAAGUGGGCCUUUUUUUAUAAGUAGAACUAGUGAUGUAGGAUGAAUCAGAAACUGAGUUAUGAUGCCUAAUUAUGCACUAACCUAGAACCCACUAAGGGUGCUGGUCGAUUAAGAUAGUAGGACGAUGGCCAUGGAACUUGAAUCUAUUAAAAAAUUGUAACAACUCACUUGCCAACUCAACUAGCCUAAAAAAUGGAUGGCACUUAACCGUGUGACCUAUACCUAACUAUCGGGGCAAGGGCCAGGCUCCAAUGAGUAAAAGGGUGCGAUGAUCAUUGCAAAACCUAGAGCAUGAACCCGUGCAAAGUAGUCAUCGAUACAGAUCUUGGUGGUAGUAGCAAAUUUUCAAAUGAGAACUUUGAAGGCCAAAGAAGGGAAAGGUUUCAUGUGAAAGGCACUUGCACAUAGGUUAGUUGAUCUUAAUAAAUAGGGGAAGCCCAUCAAAUAGCAUGUCUAGUGCAAGCUUUGAAAGGGAAUUAGAUUAAAAUUCUUGAAUCGAGACAUGACAACUGACGGCAAUGUUAAGGAGUCCAAAUAUGUCGAUGGAGGCCUAAAAAAGAGUUAUCUUUUCAAUUUAAUGGCCUACCCACCCUUGAAAUGGCUCAACUAGAGCUAGGGUCCAGUGGUUAAAAGAAUACCACACAUCACGUGGUGUCUAGUACACCCCUAGUGGUCUUUAAAAAUCUAAAGGACUGAGUAUCUUCUAUUCUUGAUUGUACUCAUAACUACAUUAGGUCUCCAAGGUGAACAACCUCUAGCUGAUGGAAUAAUGUAGGCAAAGGAAGUCAGUAAAAUAGAUCUAUAACCUCAGAAAAAAAAUUGGCUCUGAGGGCUGGGCCUAGGGGACCUAGUCCUAAAUCCAUCAACUAUCAGUGCAUUACUCAAGCUGCUCUUAUAAUGAGAGUAGGUUAUCUUGUGUCAAACGAAAGACGGAUUGGGAAUGGCUUCCUCAGGGGCCUUUCCUGGACGAUGAAUAGUCAACUCAAAAUUAGUAUGAAUAAGGGGAAUCUGACUAUUUAAUUAAAAUAAAGCAUUGCAAUGGUCCCUACUGAUGUUCGUGCAACAUGAUUUUUGCUUAGUGCUCUAAAUGUCCAAGUGAAUAAAUUCAACCAAGCACGGGUAAACGAUAAGAGUAACUAUGACUCUCUUAAGGUAGCCAAAUGUCUCAUCAUCUAAUUAGUGAUGCACAUGAAUGGAUUAACGAGAUUCUCUCUACCCUUGUCUACUAUCCAACAAAACCACAACCAAGGGAAUAGGCUUAAUAGAAUCAGUAGGAAAAGAAGACUUUAUUGAGCUUGACUCUAGUCUAACUUUGUAAAAUGAAUUAAGAGGUGUAGGAUAAGUGAGAGACCUCAGGCAAAAUUGAAAUAUCACUACUUUUAAUGUUAUUUUACUUAUUUUGUGAAUUGGAAGCAGGGCACGACCCUUUCUUUUAAACCCAAGGUCAGCCUUGAUUGGUCAAUUUGGGCAGAAGACAUUGUCAUAUGGAGAGUUUGGCUAGGGUAGCACAUCUAUUAAAAGAUAAUGCAGGUGUCCUAAGAUGAGCUCAAUGAGAAUAGAAAUCUUAUGUAGAACACAAGGGUAAAGGCUUGUUUGAUUCUGAUUUCCAAUAUGAAUACAAACCAUGAAAAUGUGGCCUAUUGAUCCAUUAGACCUUUGAAAUUUGAAGCUAGAGGUGUCAGAAAAGUUAUCACGGGGAUAACUUGCUUAUGGUAGCCAAGUACUCAUAGCGAUGUUGCUUUUUUAUCCUUUGAAGUUGGCUUUUGUUUGUCAUUGUGAAGCAAAAUUCACCAAUUGUUGGAUUGUUCACCCAUCAAUAAGGAACGUGAGCUGGGUUUAGACUAUUGUGAGGCAAGUUAGUUUUACCUUACUAAUGGCAGCGUCAUAAUUGUAAUUCAAUCUAGUAUAAAAGAAACCAUUGAUUGGGAUCACGCUUGGUUGAAAAGCUAGUGGCGUGAAACUACCAUCUACUAGAUUAUGACUGAAUGCCUCUAAGUUAAAAUAUGGGCUAGGAGUGACACACGCACCUAUUACCUAAUUGCCAACCAGCAGUAGGGCCAAGGCCCCUAGGGGCAUAUGUUAUAGGUGUAGCCUCUGUAGCAAACAACCCACGUGGGCCUCCUUGGAGCUCUGUCAUAACGUAUAGAUCCGUGGACCUAUCACUAGACAUAAACUUUAGGAGUCGCCACCAAUCUUUUUUGUUAA